CAACGACUGCAUGACUGGCGGAAGUAGGAUGAACUACAGGGAGUGCAGUAAGUGAACGUGCCGACCGCCUGGGCAGCCUGG
rnacentral:ncRNA from 19 species